UUCUAGGUAGAAUUAUGAUGAUGACAUUAUCUAUCUAUUAGUCUUGACCAAAUUACGUGCCAGCAGUCGCGGUAAUACGUAGAAGACAAGUGUUAUUCAUCUUUAUUAGGUUUAAAGAGUACCAAGACGGUUAAUAAAGCCCAAAAUUAAUGAAUCAGGGGGACACAUUAACUAGAGUUAUAUGAAAAGAAGCUAUAAGGUACUGUUGAGUGUAGAGAUGAAAUUUUUUGAUACCAGAUGAUUGGCACAGAUUAAUGCGAAGGCAUCUUCUUAUGUAAUAACUGACGUUGUAGGACGAAGGCUUAGGAAGUGAACAGGAUUAGGUACCCCAGUAAUCUAGGCAGAAAAUGAUGAAUGUCAUAGGUUUAAUACAGACAGGUUAAAUUGACUAUCUAAUAGUAAAUAGGUGGUAUUUUANUCAGUCUAUUAUUGUGUCUA
rnacentral:rRNA from 1 species